rnacentral:rRNA from 1 species
GAUGAACGCUGGCGGCGUGCCUAAUACAUGCAAGUCGAGCGAACGGACGAGAAGCUUGCUUCUCUGAUGUUAGCGGCGGACGGGUGAGUAACACGUGGAUAACCUACCUAUAAGACUGGGAUAACUUCGGGAAACCGGAGCUAAUACCGGAUAAUAUUUUGAACCGCAUGGUUCAAAAGUUAAAGACGGUCUUUCUGUCACUUAUAGAUGGAUCCGCGCUGCAUUAGCUAGUUGGUAAGGUAACGGCUUACCAAGGCAACGAUGCAUAGCCGACCUGAGAGGGUGAUCGGACACACUGGAACUGAGACACGGUCCAGACUCCUACGGGAGGCAGCAGUAGGGAAUCUUCCGCAAUGGGCGAAAGCCUGACGGAGCAACGCCGCGUGAGUGAUGAAGGUCUUCGGAUCGUAAAACUCUGUUAUUAGGGAAGAACAUAUGUGUAAGUAACUGUGCACAUCUUGACGGUACCUAAUCAGAAAGCCACGGCUAACUACGUG